UACGAAGGGGGCUAGCGUUGCUCGGAAUUACUGGGCGUAAAGCGCACGUAGGCGGCUUUCUAAGUCGGGGGUGAAAUCCUGGAGCUCAACUCCAGAACUGCCUUCGAUACUGGAGAGCUCGAGUCCGGGAGAGGUGAGUGGAACUGCGAGUGUAGAGGUGAAAUGCGCAGAUAUCAGGAAGAACACCCGUGGCUAAGGCGGCUCUCUAGUACGGUACUGACGCUGAGACGCGAAAGCGUGGGGAGCGAACAGG
rnacentral:rRNA from 1 species